AUUAAACGCUGGCGGCAUGCCUUACACAUGCAAGUUGAACGGCAGCACGAGGGCAACCCUGGUGGCGAGUGGCGGACGGGUGAGUAAAGCAUCGGAACGUAUCCUGGAGUGGGGGAUAACGUAGCGAAAGUUACGCUAAUACCGCAUAUUCUGUGAGCAGGAAAGCAGGGGAUCGCAAGACCUUGCGCUCUGGGAGCGGCCGAUGUCGGAUUAGCUAGUUGGUGGGGUAAAGGCCUACCAAGGCGACGAUCCGUAGCGGGUCUGAGAGGAUGAUCCGCCACACUGGGACUGAGACACGGCCCAGACUCCUACGGGAGGCAGCAGUGGGGAAUUUUGGACAAUGGGCGGAAGCCUGAUCCAGCCAUGCCGCGUGAGUGAAGAAGG
rnacentral:rRNA from 1 species